UACGUAGGGGGCAAGCGUUGUCCGGAUUUAUUGGGCGUAAAGAGCGUGUAGGCGGCUUGAUAGGUCAGCUGUGAAAACUCGAGGCUCAACCUCGAGACGUCGGUUGAAACCAUCUGGCUAGAGUCCGGAAGAGGAGAGUGGAAUUCCCGGUGUAGCGGUGAAAUGCGCAGAUAUCGGGAAGAACACCCGUGGCGAAGGCGGCUCUCUGGGACGGUACUGACGCUGAGACGCGAAAGCGUGGGGAGCGAACAGG
rnacentral:rRNA from 1 species